UUUUAUAUUGGAGGGCAAGUCUGGUGCCAGCAGCCGCGGUAAUUCCAGCUCCAAUAGCGUAUAUUAAAGUUGUUGCGGUUAAAAAGCUCGUAGUUGGAUCUCAGCUCACGCUAAGUGGUCCACUUAAUGGUGGUUACUACUUAGCUGAGCAUUUUACAGAUUUGUCUCUUGAUGCUCUUCACCGAGUGUCAAGAGUGGUCUGUACGUUUACUUUGAAAAAAUUAGAGUGCUUAAAGCAGGCAACUCGCCCGAAUAAUCUUGCAUGGAAUAAUGGAAUAGGACCUUGGUUCUAUUUUGUUGGUCUCCGGAAUCUGAGGUAAUGAUUAAGAGGGACAGACGGGGGCAUUCGUAUUGCGCCGCUAGAGGUGAAAUUCUUGGACCGGCGCAAGACGAACUACAGCGAAAGCAUUUGCCAAGAAUGUUUUCAUUAAUCAAGAACGAAAGUUAGAGGUUCGAAGGCGAUCAGAUACCGCCCUAGUUCUAACCAUAAACGAUGCCAA
rnacentral:rRNA from 1 species